rnacentral:rRNA from 1 species
UCGGGGAAUAUUGGGCAAUGGGCGCAAGCCUGACCCAGCGACGCCGCGUGGGUGAUGAAGGCCUUCGGGCUGUAAAGCCCUGUCAUGCGGGAAGAACAGUUCCGCGGUUAAUACCCGCGGAAUUUGACGGUACCGCAGGAGGAAGCACCGGCUAACUCCGUGCCAGCAGCCGCGGUAAUACGGAGGGUGCAAGCGUUGUUCGGAAUUACUGGGCGUAAAGGGCGCGUAGGCGGUAAUGUAAGUCAGAUGUGAAAUCCUUCGGCUCAACUGAAGAACUGCAUCUGAAACUGCAUAACUAGAGUACAGAAGAGGGAAACGGAAUUCCCGGUGUAGAGGUGAAAUUCGUAGAUAUCGGGAGGAACACCAGUGGCGAAGGCGGUUUCCUGGUCUGAUACUGACGCUGAGGCGCGAAAGCGUGGGGAGCAAACAG